CCUACGGGUGGCAGCAGUGGGGAAUAUUGGACAAUGGGCGAAAGCCUGAUCCAGCCAUGCCGCGUGUGUGAAGAAGGCCUUCGGGUUGUAAAGCACUUUCAGUGGGGAAGAAAGCCUUGGGGCUAAUACCCUCGAGGAAGGACAUCACCCACAGAAGAAGCACCGGCUAACUCCGUGCCAGCAGCCGCGGUAAUACGGAGGGUGCGAGCGUUAAUCGGAAUUACUGGGCGUAAAGCGCGCGUAGGCGGUCUGAUAAGCCGGUUGUGAAAGCCCCGGGCUCAACCUGGGAACGGCAUCCGGAACUGUCAGGCUAGAGUGCAGGAGAGGAAGGUAGAAUUCCCGGUGUAGCAGUGAAACGCGUAGAGAUCGGGAGGAAUACCAGUGGCGAAGGCGGCCUUCUGGACUGACACUGACGCUGAGGUGCGAAAGCGUGGGUAGCAAACAGGAUUAGAUACCCGAGUAGUC
rnacentral:rRNA from 1 species